rnacentral:rRNA from 1 species
UACGUAGGGGGCAAGCGUUGUCCGGAGUCAUUGGGCGUAAAGAGCGUGUAGGCGGCCUGGUAAGUCCGCUGUGAAAGUCCAGGGCUCAACCCUGGAAUGCCGGUGGAAACUGUCAGGCUCGAGUCCGGAAGAGGCGAGUGGAAUUCCUGGUGUAGCGGUGAAAUGCGCAGAUAUCAGGAAGAACACCCGUGGCUAAGGCGGCUCUCUAGUACGUGACUGACGCUGAGACGCGAAAGCGUGGGGAGCGAACAGG